UACGUAGGUGGCAAGCGUUGUCCGGAAUUAUUGGGCGUAAAGCGCGCGCAGGCGGUCCUUUAAGUCUGAUGUGAAAGCCCACGGCUCAACCGUGGAGGGUCAUUGGAAACUGGGGGACUUGAGUACAGAAGAGAAGAGUGGAAUUCCACGUGUAGCGGUGAAAUGCGUAGAGAUGUGGAGGAACACCAGUGGCGAAGGCGACUCUUUGGUCUGUAACUGACGCUGAGGCGCGAAAGCGUGGGGAGCGAACAGG
rnacentral:rRNA from 1 species